UACAGAGGUCUCAAGCGUUGUUCGGAUUCAUUGGGCGUAAAGGGUGCGUAGGCGGCCACCGCAAGUCGACUGUGAAAUCUCCGGGCUUAACCCGGAAAGGUCAGCCGAUACUGCGGGGCUAGAGUGCAGAAGGGGCAACUGGAAUUCUCGGUGUAGCGGUGAAAUGCGUAGAUAUCGAGAGGAACACCUGCGGCGAAGGCGGGUUGCUGGGCUGACACUGACGCUGAUGUGCGAAAGCUAGGGGAGCGAACGGG
rnacentral:rRNA from 1 species